GUAACUCAAAUUUGUACGGAGUUAGAGCGUUUGCCUACGUCUGCCGCUAAGGGCGUUUUUCCAGCGGCAUACAAUAUUGAAUUA
rnacentral:pre_miRNA from 1 species